UCCAAACAAUAAUAUUACAUCGAUUAAUAAGAAAAAUAAUAUAUUCCCAUUUUGGUAUACGAUACUUAACAUAAAAGUACCAUUUUUUAAAAUACAACAGUUAAACAAAUUAUAGACCCUCUAUCAGGUCAUUCUUUCUCAAGCAAAUUAUAUACACCAUAUGUGCUUCUUGAUUUAUUUUAGUUAUCCUGCCUUGACUAAACUUCUAAAUAUUGGCUCUUCUUUCUUUCCUGUGAAUGAAAAAAUAAAGAAUAAAAAUAGACAAACAGAUAUAGAAAUACAACUUUUUCCACAUCCACAUUUCAAUGCAUAAUUACAACAAGUCAAGUUCAAUGCAAUGGAUUCAAACCAUCACCAACCAGAAACCUUGAGCAGAGAAGAGCAGAUGGAGAAAUAUAAACAACAAAAGAGGUCACUCCACUAUCAUUAAGGAUUAUGCAAGCACAUCAAAACCCCAUUCAAUAAUCAAAUUAAAUAAGCAUUUUUAUGAACUAAUUUGGCUACUAAAAACUCAACCAGGUUAGUAACUUAAUCAUGCAAGAUUAGAUUAACUGUAUUUGUCCAAUAAACUGAUUUCGGCAUAAAAAAUUCAUCAUCUUGAAUUACUUCAUGCAUUAAAUCCCUGCCUCAAGAAAAGCAUCCCUGUUAAUAUAAGAACCGGUUAAAAUUUGAAGCUACAAUCUUAAUGAACAUAACAAUACAAAUAUAAAAAAUAGUAUACAUAUCUUGAUACUGAUAGUUUUUUUUUAUGAUAAAGUCACUUGUUCUUCCAUAAACUUUUCAUACACAUAUACUACCUACAUAUAGAGAGAAACUUCAUCUUAUUAGCAUUUAUAAAGGAAACAGGAAAACAAAAAGGGAAAAUACAAAUAUGCUCUUCUUUCCCUCUUCUCCAAGAUUGUACCAGGACCUUUCCUUUCCGACUUAUGUGUGUGUUGAAGGCAAUAUUGAAGGCAGUUAACAAUGAAAACUUAGAAGGGUUAUAAACAUCAAAUUAGUCAACAUGAAAACUCAACAUUGUAAAGGAAAUAAGAAUGUGUAUCGAUCCACGUGGGAAAGUGAUAGAAAAUGGAUUACCUUGAGACUGUCAUUAUAGGUUUCCUAGCAACCACACCAUUUCAGUGAACACAAACCACAAUCAAUAGAUCUUGAAUUCUUCUUGAGAGUUAAGUUCUAAAUAAUUUUAUUUGUAAGGUAUUUUUUUUUAAUAUUUAAACCAAAGACAACAAAGUCAAUAAGAAAUCAUGCAUAUGAACUAUAAAUGUUGGACCUGAUGUUAGAUCUUCAAAGUCAUACCAGAUUCUGAAUGAAAGCAAAGUAAAACGAUGGUUUUUUUUUUCCUUUUAUGACCCAUAACAAUAUAGGUGAAAAAAUGAUACAUGAGGUUAGAUAUUCAAAGUCAAACCACAUUAUGAGUAAAAUCAAGGUAAAAAGGUGAGGUUUCGACAAAUUAUACCCAAAACACCAUAUAAAUCAAGGUCAAAAAUGGUACCUGAGGUUAACACUUCAAAAAUAGAAAUCAAGGUCAAAUGAUGAGAGAAUAGAAUAGUAGCACAUGCUAGAUGUCGUUAGCUGUUCGAGAGAGAUGGCUGUAGUGAACGGUGGUAAGAUGAAGUGUGACGGUGAUGAAGGUGGCUUGUUUGAUGGUUGUGAAGGUUAUGUGACAAUAAAGUUCACUGUUAGUGGGUUGUGAUGUUUGAUAGUUAGGAUUUUGGGUUUCUAAAGGAGAGAUGCGAGAGAAGAGAAAGGCGGAGGCGUUUAGCAGCGACUAUGAUUGUUUUCUCAAUGGUGAAUAUGUGGUGGGUAACUGCGUUGGAUAUGAGACUAUGGGAGGAAUUUUAGAGUAUUUUAUAGAGAGGGAUAGCGUUUAAGGAGGGAAUAGAUGGCGACUCAUGUACGGUUAUUCUACAAGGAAUGGGUUAUGGAGACCGAGAUAAUAGAUUAUAUAUAAAGUUUAUCUAUAGACCGAUUCCCACUUGACUGAUUCAAUUGGCAAAACCUAAGGAAGACCGGUUCUUCUUUGACCAGUUUAGUUUAAUUUGAAGAUGAGAGCAAAGACCAAUUCAAAAUGUACGUAAUUUAAUAGGAUAAGAUUUGGUAUUUUUGUAUGCAUAAACUGAUUGUAAAUAGUGUAAUAAGCCUUAUACCUCUUAAAAUUCAGCAAAAUCUUGUAAAUGCUUUUUAAGGUAUAUAUAUAUAUAUAUAUAUAUAUAUAUAUACACACACAUACUA
rnacentral:lncRNA from 1 species